rnacentral:ncRNA from 1 species
ACCCGUGAAGAGGCGGGCAUAACAUAGCAAGAUGAGAAGACCCUAUGGAGCUUUAAUUCAUUAAUGCAAACAAUACUUAACAAACCCACAGGUCCUAAACUAUUAAACCUGCAUUAAAAAUUUCGGUUGUGGCGACCUCCGAGCAUAACCCAACCUCCGAGCAAUACAUGCUAAGACCUCACCAGUUAAAGCGAAUUACCACAUUCAAUUGAUCCAAUAACUUGACCAACGGAACAAGUUACCCUAGGGAUAACAGCGCAAUUCUAUUCCAGAGUCCAUAUCAACAAUAGGGUUUACGACCUCGAUGUUGGAUCAGGACAUCCUGAUGGUGCAGCCGCUAUUAAAGGUUCGUUUGUUCAACGAUUAAAGUCCUACAUGAUCUGAGUUCAGACCGGAGUAAUCCAGGUCGGUUUCUAUCUGUU